CCCUGAUCGCUAAAGGAAGUUAUUAUAAACACUCAAUCGGGGUUUAAAGUGAGUUUUGAGUAAAAGUGUACUAAUAAUUUCAUAAAUUGUCUGAUUAAGACUUUUGAUAAAUAAGGGCUAAAUGCAAACAGAGACUAAAGUGAGAUCGCUGCUUUGUGUCUUUGUAAAGCCUGAAAAACCACAACAAAGGCUGAUAAAGGUGGAAUAAAAACAAUAGAAUAAUGAUAAAAGAAUAAUGCGGGUAAUGUGUCAUACCUGGCGGAGGUGUGAAAGACUCGUUUGGUGAGAACAAUAGAAUAAUGAAUCGGGGAGUUGUCAGAGAAAAAAAAACAC